UACGGAGGGGGCUAGCGUUGUUCGGAAUUACUGGGCGUAAAGCGCACGUAGGCGGAUUUGUAAGUUAGAGGUGAAAGCCCGGGGCUCAACUCCGGAAUUGCCUUUAAGACUGCAUCGCUAGAAUUGUGGAGAGGUAAGUGGAAUUCCGAGUGUAGAGGUGAAAUUCGUAGAUAUUCGGAAGAACACCAGUGGCGAAGGCGACUUACUGGACACAUAUUGACGCUGAGGUGCGAAAGCGUGGGGAGCAAACAGG
rnacentral:rRNA from 1 species